rnacentral:rRNA from 1 species
UACGUAGGUGGCAAGCGUUGUCCGGAUUUAUUGGGUUUAAAGGGUGCGUAGGCGGUUUUGUAAGUCAGUGGUGAAAUACUCUAGCUUAACUAGAGGGGUGCCAAUGAUACUGCGGAACUUGAGUACAGAUGAGGUAGGCGGAAUUGACGGUGUAGCGGUGAAAUGCAUAGAUAUCGUCAAGAACACCGAUAGCGAAGGCAGCUUACUGGGCUGUAACUGACGCUGAUGCCCGAAAGUGUGGGGAUCAAACAGG